rnacentral:rRNA from 1 species
AGAAUCAACGCUGGCGGCGUGCCUAACACAUGCAAGUCGAACGAGAAAGGGGUAGCAAUACCCUGAGUAAAGUGGCGCACGGGUGAGUAACACGUGACUAACCUACCCUUGAGUGGGGGAUAACUGAGGGAAACCUUAGCUAAUACCGCAUAAUACCCACGGGUCAAAGGAGCAAUUCGCUCGAGGAGGGGGUCGCGGCCGAUUAGUUAGUUGGCGGGGUAAUGGCCCACCAAGACGAUGAUCGGUAUCCGGCCUGAGAGGGCGCACGGACACACUGGAACUGAAACACGGUCCAGACUCCUACGGGAGGCAGCAGUGGGGAAUUUUGCGCAAUGGGGGAAACCCUGACGCAGCAACGCCGCGUGGAGGAUGAAGUCCUUCGGGACGUAAACUCCUUUCGAUCGGGACGAUUAUGACGGUACCGGAAGAAGAAGCCCGGACUAACUUCGCGCCAGCAGCCGC